rnacentral:rRNA from 1 species
CUCCUUCCGUAGGGUGAACCUGCGGAAGGAUCAUUACUGAUUUGCUUAAUUGCACCACAUGUGUUUUUCUUUGAAACAAACUUGCUUUGGCGGUGGGCCCAGCCUGCCGCCAGAGGUCUAAACUUACAACCAAUUUUUUAUCAACUUGUCACACCAGAUUAUUACUAAUAGUCAAAACUUUCAACAACGGAUCUCUUGGUUCUCGCAUCGAUGAAGAACGCAGCGAAAUGCGAUACGUAAUAUGAAUUGCAGAUAUUCGUGAAUCAUCGAAUCUUUGAACGCACAUUGCGCCCUCUGGUAUUCCGGAGGGCAUGCCUGUUUGAGCGUCGUUUCUCCCUCAAACCGCUGGGUUUGGUGUUGAGCAAUACGACUUGGGUUUGCUUGAAAGACGGUAGUGGUAAGGCGGGAUCGCUUUGACAAUGGCUUAGGUCUAACCAAAAACAUUGCUUGCGGCGGUAACGUCCACCACGUAUAUCUUCAAACUUUGACCUCAAAUCAGGUAGGACUACCCGCUGAACUUAAGCAUAUCAAUAAGCGGAGGAA